rnacentral:rRNA from 1 species
UACAGAGACUGCAAGCGUUAUUCGGAUUCACUGGGCGUAAAGGGUGCGCAGGCGGUUGGGUGUGUCAGAUGUGAAAUCCCGAGGCUUAACCUCGGAACUGCGUCUGAAACUACUCGACUAGAGUACUGGAGAGGGAAACGGAAUUCACGGUGUAGCAGUGAAAUGCGUAGAUAUCGUGAGGAACACCAGAGGCGAAGGCGGUUUCCUGGCCUGUUCUUGACGCUGAGGCGCGAAAGCUAGGGGAGCAAACGGG